UCCGAAGGGGGCGAGCGUUGAUCGGAAUUACUGGGCGUAAAGCGUGCGCAGGCGGAUUGGUAAGACAGAGGUGAAAUCCCGGGGCUUAACCUCGGAACUGACUUUGAUACUGUCUGUCUUGAGUUCGGGAGAGGUGAGUGGAAUUCCUAGUGUAGAGGUGAAAUUCGUAGAUAUUAGGAAGAACACCAGUGGCGAAGGCGGCUCACUGGCCCGGAACUGACGCUCAUGUGCGAAAGCGUGGGGAGAAAACAGG
rnacentral:rRNA from 1 species